rnacentral:rRNA from 1 species
GAUGAACGUUGGCGGUGUGCCUAAUACAUGCAAGUCGAACGGAGACUGUAGCAAUACUAUCUUAGUGGCGAACGGGUGAGUAACGCGUUGGUGACCUGCCCCAAAGCGUGGGAUAACAGUUCGAAAGGACUGCUAAUACCGCAUGAGGUCAUUAAGGUUAGAGGCUUGAUGACGAAAGGAGCGAUCCGUUUUGGGAGGGGCCUGCGUCCCAUCAGCUAGUUGGUAGGGUAAAAGCCUACCAAGGCGACGACGGGUAGGGGGCCUGAGAGGGUGAUCCCCCACACUGGCACUGAAACACGGGCCAGACACCUACGGGUGGCAGCAGUAGGGAAUAUUGCACAAUGGGCGAAAGCCUGAUGCAGCAACGCCGCGUGCACGAUGAAGGCCUUCGGGUCGUAAAGUGCUUUUUGAGGAGACGAGGAAGGACGGUAUCCUCAGAAUAAGGAUCGGCUAACUACGUG